UAAAGGUUUAGGGUUUAGGGUUUAAUAUUUGUUGGCAGCGUUAAAAAUACUUUUGAAAAACAAAUUCUUUUUUUUUUGCGAUUAAAAAAUCUUCUUUUUGUGAUUAAUACAAUUUUUAUUUUAAAAAUAUAAUAUAAUUCGAUAAUAUUUUGUUUCCUUUUUUUAAAGAUACUGAAUUUAAAAUAACACAAUCUUAUUGGUUGGUGAACCUGUAGGUUCACUUAGGGGGUGAACCCUAGAAUAAGUCAUUACUAUUUUUAACACAUGCAUACGAUUAUACUAAAGCACAUAAAUGAAAAUCCUGUCCAUUUGGAAUUCUAAUCACAUUUCAUAUUCUUAUAACUAUUCUAAUAUAUUACCCAAAAAAAAUAUUAUUAACUUGACAUUAAUCUUUAAGAAAAUUGUAUUAUCUCUUCUAUUAAAAUAGAAAUCACAACCUAAUUUCGUGUGUGAUUUUUUAAGUUGGACCGUCUCUUAGGAAAAUUACUUAAAUGAAUUAUUUUAACUAUUCUAAAUAUCAAAUAGAUAUUUCGUUAUUUCUCUGAAUUACAUUUAAAUAAAAUCAUUCAUAUCCUUUUAUUUAAAAUAUAAAUAUAUAUAUAAUAUGUUUCAUUAAGGCAAAUAUUUAAUUACUUUAUUUUUUAUUUAUAAUAUAAAUGUAUAUGUUGUUUUUCACUUAAACAAACCUUUUAAAUAUUUAAUUAAUUUUGUAAUUAUUAAAAUAUAAAUGUAUAUUUCAUUUUUACUAAAAUAAACCUUCUAAGUAUCUAAUUGAUUUUUUUAAUUAUAUUAAACUCAAAUACAAUUUUGUAUUAAAUUUGUGAUAUUAAUUUAAAAUAAUAUAUUUCAACUAAAUCUUUAAUCUCUAACAGUUAUGAUUUGUUAAUUUAUAAUUUGGUACCACAAUGUUGAAAAUAUGCUAUCAAUAUGAACGAUCGGUCUACAAAUGCUAUUUUGAAAGUGGAUUCAGUUUUUAUUAUAAAAUAUAGUGGCCGGUUUUGAUUUUUUUUUAUUAAUAAUAAAAGUAUAUGUUUGCUUUGUUUAAAAGUAUAGAUCAUAUUCAUAUAUUAUUCAUUAAUGUAAUUGUUUUUGUUUAUUUUAUCUUGUGUAAUGGGUAUUGUAACAAUUUAUGUCAUUAACAUAAAUAACAGAGGAACGAUUGAAAAAUAUAUUACAUGUAAAUAUUUUUCUUUUCAGUGUGGUUAUUAUCAAAUGUAGUUGUAGGCUUAAAUGUUAAUUAUAUAACAUGAUGUAUGAUAGAUGAAGAAUUGCAAAUAAAAAUUUAACAGUGAGAGAUUCAUUGUAAAUAAUCCAAGACUUUUGGGGUUGAAAAGUCUAAAUCACCGAUACACAUCAUAAGAAACCGAAAAACAUAGAUAAUAAAGAGAAAAUUCAGGUUGAAAAAGACAAUAAAAUACACUUGCAUUAUAAUUUCCGGUUUAAUAAUUUAAAUGAAGUGGAUUUUUUUUAUAAAUUACACUUAAUAUAGGUUAUGCAGUCAAAGAUUUAAUUCAUACAAAUAAUUUGAUUAACACAUAGGUAUCACCUAAACUUAAAAUACAAGUAUAAUCGUAAGGAAAUUAAUAUCUAAUUUAAUAUUUAAUUGAACGGAUCACCCCCUAUGGCUUUUUAGUCUAAUCUCAUAUUGUACCAUUUUUGACUAUAAUAUCAUUUAAUAUUUUUGAAAAUAAAUUAAAUAAAUAGUUUUACAAACAAAAUUUUUUUUGGAAAAAUAGUAACUACUGAUAAAAUACCUAUAUGAACUUAGUAGUAUUUUUUUCAGUUCUAAAAAUAUUUAAAUCAUAAUUUCGAAUUAUGUUCUAAACUUAGUAGAAUUGAGAUUCUACGAAGUAGAAAACGAAAUCCACUAUUUUCAUUGAAUCUACAAUGUUUAGAAUACAUAUUCCGCGCUUAACCUACCGAUCUAAAACAUGUAGAAACCGACUUCUACAUAUUUACUAUAAAUUUAAAACAUGUAAAAACUGACUUCUACAGAUUUACUGUAAAUCUAAAACGUGUAGAAAUCAAAAUCUACACAUUACUAAAAUUCUAAAAAAUCUGUUGAAACCGAUUUCUACAGAUUAACUGUAUUCUCCAGAUAAGAAUAAGGGAAUAAUCAGUUCCGAAAUAUAAGGAAAAAAAUAUUUGAAAAUAUUCAGUUUUCUAUUUUGAAAAUCGAUUUUUUUUUAAUUAAGAAAAAAAAAAACAGUUGUCUGCAACUUGGUAAGAGUAAGUAUAUAUGAUUAUGCUAUAUAUGAAUUGAGUUUGUACGUUUGUUAUGGUUUAACAAGUUUACGAAUAUGGUUUUAUAGCAUAACAUAUUCUUAUAAUCUGUGUAUGAGUCUAUUAUAUACAAAUUAAUUAAUAUAUAUUUUGUACCUUUGAAGUUUCAGGGUAGUGAUGACUGCACGUGAAGGGGAUGGAGAAGAAUACCAAAACGCAAGUUAAAAAAAUCCCAAGAUAUGUUUUCUUUUAUUUUCAAUAGGAUUUUUUUUUUUCUUUUUACUGGGCAUCAGAUUGCAAAACUUUCGAAUUAAUACUUUCAGUAAAAGUUUAAUGUGUUUUUAUUAUUUAUUUUCGUUUUUAUUUUAAUUUUAGUAUAUUAACAAUAAAUAAAUUUAUAUUUUAAAGAAGACUUAUUUACAAAAAAAAAAAUUAUAAACAAAACUAUUAGCCUACCAUUAGUAUAUUAACAAUAACCUAUCAUUUUUUAUUAUAUUUAAAAAUUAGAAUUUUAAGAGUAUUAUUGUUAUUUUGAAAAUAUUAACUUAAUGGAACAUAAAGUAUAUGAAAUUAGUCUAAAAAAAUAUAGUUAGGCGUACCCAGUGACCAGUUCUUUAGUUGUUUGUGUUAUCGAUGGCUUGCGUUUGAGUUUUUAUACACUAACGUUUUGGUCAGGCUCAGUUAACUGUAGGGUUUUUAGUUUACUUCCAUUUCACCGAUCAUUAAGAACUGGUCACCGGGUACGCCUAACUCUACCGGGUCCAGCUCUCGCUAUAACUGCGGGUCGAUUCUGCGGCAAGCGAUUGUCCCUCCCGACUGUAUCCUUUGUGUUCUGCAGUUGUGUUUGAUGUCAUUUCAUGUGUUUCCUUAGGUUUGAGUUUGUGUUAGUUUUAUUUAUGUUGAUCUGCUACUAGUAUACUCUGUCAAUGUCUGUAAAAAACUUAAAACUGGUAAUGAAAUCUUAACAUUUUUUACCAAAAAAAAAAAAAAAUAUAUAUAUAGUUUAUUUAGUCGAAGAAUCUACGAUUAAUUUUGUUUCUUUAGUUGUGUGGACCUUUUGUUUUGUCUUUAGUUGUUUGUGUUAUCGUUGGCUUGCGUUUGAGUUUUUAUACACUAACGUUUUGGUCAGGCUCAGUUAACUGUAGGGUUUUUAGUUUACUUCCAUUUCACCUACUUAAGCAAUUAAAAAACAAUUAUAGCAUGAAAUUAAAAGUCCCUAAUUAAAUUAAGUGGAAUCAGUAAAUGACAAAAAGCCCAAAGACAGAAGAAGCAGCCCAGUAAGAGAAAGGAAGCGUCGAAGCUCAGUGGAAGGAAGAGGCGUAGAAAGCAGAAUGUUUUGAUAUGGCGAAUAGCAAGUACGAGUAUGUCAAGUCAUUCGAACUGGAAGAUGAAGUCAUGCUUCUGAUACAGUUAAACGUAACAGGGAAAGUAGAAGAAGAUGAACAGUAACUCGUAUUGAUUCGAUCCAAUGUUUACACAAAGAAUCGACUCUCACUCGCCAAGAGAUACAUGUAGAAACACUCUAGAUCUGAGAUGAGGAAUCAAUGGUGAUUUUCCUAGAAAAUCACCAAGAAAAUAUAGAGAACAUAGAUGAAGAAGAUAACAAACUUUCUUGACUAUUUUCGAUGAUUCUAACUUCUGUUUUCUCCAGCUAUAUAUCAACUCAAUCUUGCUGACGUGUCACUAUUAGCACCACCACUUUUCCUAUAGCAGCUUCCUAAUUUGAUCCUUGUUCGGAUCGAUGGUCGUGAUUUUUCUAGGUAAAGUCUCUCUCGAGCUUUUUCAAGGAAGUAGGAUGUUCUGUUCUUAAGUUAGUAUUGAUUUUGGUUCUACUCAGAAGUUGUAUUCUUUUUAGGUCUUGUUGAUUUUUAGUCUCUCUGGAACUGUAUAGGGAACAUGUAUUUGUUGUAGCUUUCACAAUUUGAAUGUGGACAUUACUUGUAUUUGUUCUAGUUUCAACACUUUAUGAGUCGAUAGUGUUUCAUGGAAACUUUUAACUUUUGAUAGGUUUUCCCAAGUUCAUGAGUUUGAGAAGCCUAAUGAUGAAGCAGCCCUCAAUCUUUUGAAUUCAUGUUCAGCUGCGGUUUUGGAAGAGUUUCCUGAUAUCAUCUUUGCUUAUGGAUACAGUGAUGAAUACAGGUUCCAAAGCUCACUUUGUUUGACUUUAUUUGUCUUAGGUUUUUACACUCUCACUCAUUCUCUACUAUUUUCCUUGUCUUCCGUAGCUUUGUGUUCAAGAAAACAUCAAGAUUCUACCAGAGACGAGCCAGGUCUUGAUUCAUCUAAAACUUGAUCGAUAUAUAAUAAAAACCUUUUGCAGAAUAAUAUGUGCUUUGCAUUUCUCUGAUUGACUCUUACUCUUUACACUACCGUUUUUUGUUUAAUACGCAGUAAGAUUUUGUCGUUGGUAGCUUCCUUCUUUGCUGCAGUCUACGUAACAAAAUGGAAAGAGUUCUUUCCCCAAAGAAAACUGGAAUAUACUCCUUCUUUCACCUCAAAAGUCGUAAGUUGUGCAUCGCCAGAGGUUCUUCAAGCUUAUCUCGCGUGGAGACAACAAGAUUGUAAGACAUACUGAGCUCAGAAAUAAUGCCACGCCAAUAAUCAAUACGAAACUUGUUUUUGGAUGUUAGUUAAAAGUGGAAUGACCAUAAGCGAAGCACAAGAGCUUCUUAAGGUGUGUUGUUAGUGCUUUAAAUUGCUCUUUUUACCUUCUUUGCAUUGUUAUUUCAUUGUUUGUCUAUUUCCAUUGGAUACCUGCAGGAUACACAAAAGCAGCAGAAAAAUGAGCUUCUCUUUCACAAGUUUGGUAUCAAUUACAAAACGCUUCCUGAAUUGUUUCGACAAGGAUCAUGUCUCUUCAAGAAAAAGGUGGAAGAAACUGUAAAGCAUGAUGAGAAUGGCAAUCCUGUAAAAAGAUUGAGGAGAAAGGCUGUGUUGGUACACUCAGAGAAUAUUGCUGCAAGAAGCUUUUGGAAUGAGCACCCGUCCCUAUAUAAUGAUCUUGGUCACUUCUCGAAAGAUAUUGGCAGAGUUGAACCAGAUUUCGUUAGAUCGUUUCAGUUCGAGAACAAAUUGUUACCUCUAACUUGGGUCGUUGUUAGGAUUGACGGCUCUCACUUUCACAGGUAAUCUUUUUUUUUUUUUUUGCCUUAAACUAGUCAUGUCCUUGUGCUCCCUAGGAUUCAGCUAUGUCAUGAAUUGGUUUACUUCUUUAGCUGGCCUCUUUAGUUUGCUGAUGUUUUUUUGCCUCAAACUAGUUCUUGAAUCCUAACUUGCAUUUUCAUCACUAAUCAACUAACGUUAUAUGUUGAAAAUUUAUUUUGUGGAGCUUGGCUUGGGGUUUUGGUAGGUUUUCUGACGUUCAUGAAUUUGAGAAGCCAAAUGAUGAGCAAGCUCUGAAACUUAUGAAUUCAUGUGCAGUGGCUGUUCUCCAGGAGUUUGAGGAUAUUCACUUUGGCUAUGGUGUGAGUGAUGAGUACAGAGAGUAUAUGUGAGGAAAAGAAGAGAAAGAGAGAACAGAGGAGAGGAGGAAGAACAGAGUGUUGGCCGUUAGAGUUUGAUGACGUGGAUUAUUCUGUUACGAGUAUUAGAGAGUAAGAGGAUUGUACUUGGGCCUUGGUAUAUAAGAGGACCCAGGUAAGAGAGGUUAGUCAGUCAGUUAGAGAGUCUUGGGCUUGCCCUUGAUUGUGAGAGAGAUUGUAUUUGGCUUAGUACUUCGACUUGUGGAGUCUAAGAGGGGUGGUUGGGUGGAUCUUAAUCAAUAAACAUCUCAGUUCUAACAAAUUGGUGCGAGUGAGCGCUCUGGAUCGAGAACCAUCGCGACGAUGACGAAGAGGACGAAGGAUAUCGGCGACGGUCAGGCGGAUCCUCCGAUCACCUUGGAUUUGCUUGCGGCGACGUUGCGAGAUCAGUCGACGGUUCAGAUCGAGACGAAUCGGCGAUUCACCGAAUCUUUUUUCGAGUUGGAGAAAAAUGCGAAGGAGAUGGAAUCGCGAAUCGAAGCCUCGAUUGAAUCAAGGAUUGAAGCGUGUUACGAGAAGAUGUGCUCGCGGUUGGAGAAGAAGCUUUCUAAAACGAUCGAGGUUUCCGGUGAUUCACCUCAACCGUAUCGUCAUCCUAACUAUCAGGUACAUAACACAAACUUGGAACCUGGCCGUAGCUCUAGGAAUGAAGAUGCGGUAGAUCGAACUUCGAUUGUUGGUAACCGUGAGAGGAUGUUGAAACGAGUAGAAUUACCUGUGUAUGAUGGUUGUGAUGCGUAUGGAUGGCUAGCUCUUGCAGAACGUUUUUUCAGGAUUGGCGGUUAUGAUGACCGAGCUAAGUUGGACGUAGUCUCAGUGAGUCUAGCAGGAGAUGUACUCAGCUGGUUUAACAGUGAAUCACAUCGCAGAGGGUUCAGAAGUUGGAUGGAGUUUAAGCAGAAACUGAUAGCAAGAUUCAGCAAAGAGAAGUUCAGGGAUCCGAGUCAGCCAUUCUUUGCGGUUAAACAGACUGGUACUGCGGCUCAGUAUAUCCAUGCCUUUGAAGAUCUAUCAACGUUGGUAACUGGUCUGACAGAUACGCAGCUCGAAGGGAUAUUCAUGAAUGGGUUAAAACCUGAAAUGAGAGAAGUGGUAACGAUGUGCAAACCAGUUGACUUGGAUGAAAUGAUCUCUACAACAUAUCAGAUGGAAGACAGUGUUUUAUAUAAGGUGGUGUGUAGAGAGAGACAAGCAGAAAGGAAAGACAAUUCAAAAACAACGUCUAUGAAAUCCUUUUCUUCUGGGAAGAGUAGUUCCGGUUGGACUUUUAAGCCGACGCAGACAAAGCCAACUGAAGCAGGAGGACAGAGACCGCAAUUACGAUUGACUGAGGCUCAGAUAGCAGAGAAAAAGCGCUUGGGACUGUGUUUUUCCUGUGAUGAUAAGUGGUCAAGGCAGCAUUUGUGUCCCAACCGUACGCUUCAGGUCUUGACAGUCGUAAAUGGACUGGAGAUGGAAAUAAUGGAUCAGUCUCUAGUUGAAGUAGAGGAAGAGAUAGAAGAUACUGAAGCUUCGAUGAUGGCACUUUCCUUGAGCUCGUUCUUGGGACAGUCUUCUUCUACUACAACUAAGCUGAAGGGAGCAAUUAAGAAGAAUUCAGUGGUGGUUAUGAUAGAUAGUGGUGCGACUCAUAACUUCAUCUCACCUUCGACAGUACAGAAGACAAAACUUAAAGUUACAGAGAAUACGAAUCUGCGCGUCUUGCUUGGAACGGGAAUCUCAGUUCAAGGGACAGGAGUGUGUCAGAAAGUGACGGUGGGGUUACCAUCUAUGUCCUUUGAAGCAGAUUUUGUGGUUUUGGAGUUGGGAAAUGUUGACGUUAUCCUUGGAGUCGAAUGGUUGAGAACGUUGGGCAAAUGCAUGGUGGAUUGGGAACAGAAUGAAUGGUCUUUUGUCUAUGAGGGAGCACCGGUGACGUUAAGAGGGGAUCCAACGCUUCAUGCUCAAACCGUAUCUCUCAAAUCAUUCACAUCAGAUAACAUGGUGUGUCACAAAGGAGUUGAGAUGGAGGUACGAUCAUUGGAGGAAAAGGGUGAGACAGUGACGGAGUUACCAUUACCGAUUGCUCAGACGUUGCAGCACUAUGACGGGGUAUUUCAGAAACCGGUAGGGUUGCCUCCAAUCAGAGGUCGAGAACAUGCAAUUGUGUUGUUGGACAGCUCUAAACCGAUAAGCGUGAGACCUUACAGGUAUCCGCACGCACACAAAGAGGUGAUGGAGAGAAUGGUUAAAGAAAUGUUAGAGGAAGGGUUGAUAAGGCCGAGCCAGAGUCCGUAUUCGAGUCCGGUUCUGUUGGUUAAGAAGAAAGACAAUUCACACCGAUUCUGUGUGGAUUAUCGUGCAUUGAACCGUGCAACAGUUCCAGACAAGUAUCCAAUCCCAAUGAUUGAUCAACUGUUGGAUGAAUUACAUGGAGCUAAGAUCUUUUCAAAGUUGGAUUUGCGGGCUGGGUAUCAUCAGAUACGAAUGCAGGAAGAAGAUAUUGCGAAAACUGCAUUUCGUACGCAUGAUGGACAUUUUGAGUUCUUAGUGAUGCCUUUCGGUCUCACCAAUGCUCCGGCCACAUUCCAAGCCUUGAUGAAUGAUCUUUUCCGACAAUAUUUGCGGAGGUUUGUGUUGGUAUUUUUUGAUGAUAUCCUCAUUUACAGCAAAACAGUGGAGGAUCACGUGAAGCAUUUGGAGCUGGUGUUGGAUAUUUUCGUGGAACAACGUCUGUUUGCGAACAGGAAGAAGUGUGCGUUUGCAGAAGAGAAGGUGGAGUAUUUGGGGCAUGUGAUUACAAGCAAGGGAGUUUCAACUGAUCCCCAAAAGGUGAUAGCAGUGAAACAAUGGCAUAAUCCAAAGUCAGUCAAGGAGCUGCGAGGAUUUUUGGGUCUCACUGGCUAUUACAGAAAGUUUGUUCAGAGCUAUGGAUCGAUUGCUAAACCGUUGACAGAAUUACUGAAGAAGGAGCAGUUCUUGUGGUCAGAAUUUUCUCAACGGGCGUUUGAUAAGUUGAAGCAGGCAAUGAUCUCAGCUCCUGUACUGGCACUUCCGGAUUUCAAUAAGCUGUUCAUUGUGGAAUCAGACGCUUCGGGCUUUGGGUUGGGCGCAGUUCUUAUGCAGGAUCAACACCCAAUAGCGUAUUUCAGCAGGGGAUUAACUCAUAAAGAACAGCAGAAACCAAUCUAUGAAAGAGAAUUGAUGGCAAUUGUGAUGGCCAUUCAGAAGUGGAAACAUUAUCUCUUGGGAAGAAGAUUUAUUGUGCGGACUGAUCAACAGAGCCUAAAAUACUUGUUGGAGCAGCGUGAGAUAACACUUGACUAUCAGCGUUGGCUUACGAGAAUCUUAGGGUAUGAGUUUGACAUUGAGUAUAAGGUUGGCAGUGAGAAUAAGGUGGCAGAUGGGUUAUCUAGGAUUGAUCACACUGCUGAGGAAAGGCUGACUCUGGACUUGUUAGCAUUAACGGUUCCUUCUUCUUUGGAAUUGCAAGACUUGUAUAAAGAGAUUGAGAAGGAUGAGACUAUUCAGAAGUUGAUAAGGAGAUUCAAGGCUGAGGAGCAAGUGAAAGCGGGGUUUACGUUGGUCAAUGAGCGCUUGUUCUUUAAAAACAAACUCGUCAUUCCUGUCAAUUCCAAGUACAUUCAGUUGAUUAUGCAAGAAUGUCAUGACAGUGUUUUGGGAGGGCAUGCUGGGGUUUUGCGAACAUUACAACGGGUUCGGGACCUGUUUUACUGGCCGAAAAUGCGUAAGACAGUGCAGGAGUAUGUAGCGGCUUGUCGUGUGUGCCAAACGCAUAAAUCUUCGACUCUUUCUCCUGCUGGACUCUUGCAGCCAAUUGAGUUACCCGUGCAGAUUUGGGAGGAUGUAGCGAUGGACUUCAUUGAAGGAUUGCCUACUUCACAAGGGGUUAAUGUGAUUCUUGUGGUGGUAGACAGGCUCAGCAAGUAUGGCCAUUUCUUGACAUUAUGCCAUCCUUUCACCGCUGUGGACGUGGCAAACAAGUUUACUCAGGAGAUUAUCCGACUACAUGGCUAUCCAAAGUCCAUUAUUUCGGAUCGCGACAGAAUUUUUCUCAGCAAAUUUUGGAAGGAGUGUUUCAGGUUGUCGGGGACUAAGCUGCGGUUCAGCACAGCGUUUCAUCCGCAGUCUGACGGGCAAUCUGAGGUCCUGAAUAGAUGUUUGGAAACUUAUUUGCGUUGCUUUGCUUCCACACAUCCUAAGACGUGGGCGAAAUUUUUGCCAUGGGCGGAGCUGUGGUAUAAUACGGCGUAUCACACGGCAUUAAAAUGUACCCCUUUCAAGCUUGUGUAUGGUCGCGAUCCUCCUCAUUUGCUGUCAUAUGAAUCAGGAUCGACGGCGAAUUUUGAAGUCGAAUCGGCAUUAAGGGAAAGAGAUAGGAUGUUGGGGUCAAUAAAGGACAAUCUCUUACGGGCACAAGAGCUGAUGAAGAACAACGCUGACAAACAUCGUCGGGAUUUGGAGUUUGAGGUGGGAGCUUCAGUUUUUCUGAAACUGCGGCCGUAUCGACAGCAUUCUGUGGCUCGACGUUUGUUCCAGAAGUUGGCAGCGAGGUACUACGGUCCUUUUGAGGUGAUUGGGCGAGUUGGACAGGUGGCUUACCGUCUUCAGUUACCGGAAUCAUCUCGGAUUCAUCCGGUCUUUCACAUCUCACAGCUUAAACCGGUGAUUGGGAGUACAACGGUGGUUUCGGAGUUGCCUUCUCGGUUGGAUGAUAAUAAUGAGUUGGUUAUUGAACCAGAGGAGCUUCAGGAUACUCGUUAUGAUGAAGAAGGCCAUUUAGAAGUGUUGAUCAAAUGGCGUAAUCUUCCGGAUCAUGAGAUGUCCUGGUUGCGAGCUAGCGAAGUGAAACAUCAGUUUCCAAAAUUUUCACUUGAGGACAAGCUGAAACUCGUGAACGGGGGUAUUGAUAUGCUACAGAGAGUAUAUGUGAGGAAAAGAAGAUAAAGAGAGAACAGAGGAGAGGAGGAAGAACAGAGUGUUGGCCGUUAGAGUUUGAUGACGUGGAUUAUUCUGUUACGAGUAUUAGAGAGUAAGAGGAUUGUACUUGGGCCUUGGUAUAUAAGAAGACCCAGGUAAGAGAGGUUAGUCAGUCAGUUAGAGAGUCUUGGGCUUGCCCUUGAUUGUGAGAGAGAUUGUAUUUGGCUUAGUACUUCGACUUGUGGAGUCUAAGAGGAGUGGUUGGGUGGAUCUUAAUCAAUAAACAUCUCAGUUCUAACACAUCAUCGAUUCCAGCUUUGUUUUGAAGAGAGAAUCUGAGCUCUACCAAAGACAAUCCAGUAAGAUAAUAUCUGCAAUCGCAUCCUUGUUUACAUCCACAUAUGUGAUCAAAUGGGGAGAUUUCUUCCCUCGCAAAGAACUGAAGUACCCUCCAUCGUUUGAUGGACGAGCAGUAUGCUACCCAACGUACAAGAUUCUUUUGGAUUACUUGGCUUGGAGACAAGUUGACUGCCAUAUCAAUAAUCAGUAUAAUACAUGUUUC